AGCGACCUCCGCGUUCAGGACACCUGUCGGGGCUGGGGGUCCAGGACACCUGCCGGGGCUGGGGGUCCCGUUUGCAAACGCCUUCCCUGCUUCCCACCCGGAGAGGAGGAGCUCUGCGACUGAGGGGAAGGGCCCGGUUGGAUAGCAAGAGCUAAUACGGGGACACCUCAAUCAAAGAGGGGCUCGAUCCACAGACUCGGGUCACUGCCAUCUUGGGUCCACCCUCCUCCCUGAGGAGCCCGGAUCUGCAGGAGUGCACUUGUUUUGCUGAAGAAGCCGCCAUACAUCAUCGUUUAUCAGGAGGGAGCGAGUAUUCUCCAUGUGAAAGGACAAAGGGCUGGCCUUGACCUAGUCAGGGUGGCUUGAGUGCCUGGAAGUGCAGGUGACAAAGGGAUCGGGCAGGGACAGUUCAGCUACCACCAGCCAACGAUACCCCCUCCCUCCAGGGCCUCGCCAGCUCUGGUCCCGCAUACGGACGCCAAACGCAGAUGACAGCCUGAAAACAAUUUGUCCGGUCGGUGAGUAAUGUCUAGUAACUAAAUGCCAAUUAAUUUGCUGUUGCAUUUGAGUUAAUUUAUGAGGUGUUCUCUUCACCAAGUAAAUUUUAAUUAAGAAGAGUAAAACAAAUGACAAAGUAAUUUCCAAAAAAUUAAUUUUCGGUAAACACAAGCCAUUGUUUUUCUUUGUAUCAAUAAUAAAAGUUAAAAUGAAGCCUCCUUAAUGCUCCCUCCCCCAACUACCUCGCUUCUAAGG
rnacentral:lncRNA from 1 species